rnacentral:rRNA from 1 species
AUCAACUUUCGAUGGUAGGAUAGAGGCCUACCAUGGCGGUAACGGGUAACGGGGUGUUAGGGCACGACACCGGAGAGGGAGCCUGAGAAACGGCUACCACAUCCAAGGAAGGCAGCAGGUGCGCAAAUUACCCAAUCCCGACAUGGGGAGGUAGUGACAAUAAAUAACAAUACAGGGUUCUUUUGGAUCUUGUAAUUGGAAUGAGUACAAUUUAAAUCUCUUAACGAGGAACAAUUGGAGGGCAAGUCUGGUGCCAGCAGCCGCGGUAAUUCCAGCUCCAAUAGCGUAUAUUAAAGUUGUUGCAGUUAAAAAGCUCGUAGUUGAAUUUCGGGAUCAAGGAAUCGGUCAUGCCUUGGUAUGUACUGGUUUUAUUGGUUCUCACCUUCUAAAGAAUCAUAAUGUCAUUUAUUUGAUGUUAUGGGGAAUUAGGACUGUUACCUUGAAAAAAUUAGAGUGUUUAAAGCAAGCUUACGCUUGAAUACAUUAGCAUGGAAUAAUGAAAUAGGACAUCAGAUUCUAUUUUGUUGGUUUCUAGGAUCGAUGUAAUGAUUAAUAGGGAUAGUUGGGGGCAUUAGUAUUCAAUUGUCAGAGGUGAAAUUCUUGGAUUUAUUGAAGACUAACUACUGCGAAAGCAUUUGCCAAGGAUGUUUUCAUUAAUCAAGAACGAAAGUUAGGGGAUCGAAGACGAUCAGAUACCGUCGUAGUCUUAACCAUAAACUAUGCCGACUAGGGAUCGGAUGAUGUUUAUUUUUUAGUGACUCAUUCGGCACCUUACGGGAAACCAAAGUGUUUGGGUUC